rnacentral:rRNA from 1 species
CUAGCACUCCUACGGGAGGCAGCAGUGGGGAAUAUUGCACAAUGGGCGCAAGCCUGAUGCAGCCAUGCCGCGUGUAUGAAGAAGGCCUUCGGGUUGUAAAGUACUUUCAGCAGUGAGGAAGGUGGAUAUGUUAAUAGCAUAUUCAUUUGACGUUUAGCUGCAGAAGAAGCACCGGCUAACUCCGUGCCAGCAGCCGCGGUAAUACGGAGGGUGCGAGCGUUAAUCGGAAUUACUGGGCGUAAAGCGCAUGCAGGUGGUUUGUUAAGUCAGAUGUGAAAGCCCGGGGCUCAACCUCGGAAUUGCAUUUGAAACUGGCAAACUAGAGUACUGUAGAGGGGGUAGAAUUUCAGGUGUAGCGGUGAAAUGCGUAGAGAUCUGAAGGAAUACCGGUGGCGAAGGCGGCCCCCCUGGACAGAUACUGACACUCAGAUGCGAAAGCGUGGGGAGCAAACAGGAUUAGACUACCCUGGUAG